rnacentral:rRNA from 1 species
CAAUAGCGUAUAUUUAAGUUGUUGCAGUUAAAAAGCUCGUAGUCGGAUUUUGGCUGAGAACGAUCGGUCCGCCGUUAGGUGUGCACUGAUUGGUCUCAGCUUCCUGGUGAGGAGGUGUGCUUCACGGCCACUUAGUCACCGUGGUUACUUUGAAAAAAUUAGAGUGUUCAAAGCGGGCUUACGCUUGAAUAUAUUAGCAUGGAAUAACACCAUAGGACUCCUGUCCUAUUUCGUUGGUCUCGGGACGGGAGUAAUGAUUAAGAGGAACAGUUGGGGGCAUUCGUAUUUCAUUGUCAGAGGUGAAAUUCUUGGAUUAUCGGAAGACGAACAUCUGCGAAAGCAUUUGCCAAGGAUGUUUUCAUUGA